GACACUUAUCCAAGAUCAGCAAUGCUCAUAUCAAACUAGUUCAACAUUCAUCACAAUGCAUCCUCACUAAAACACUUAAGGUCGAAGUUCACUAGCUCCACCUUGCUGAAAUUCGCCUCUGACGGUGGCGGAGGGCCAAUAUCAAAAACUUUGAUCGCCUCGCCUCCCUCUAUCACGAUCCAACCUCCAAUUCUCCUUAUUCCUACUUACAGAUCCAAACUGAGCCAAAUUUACUUAGAAACCUCAAUUACUAAAUCUGAAAUUAAAUAAAAACUAGGAGGAACCAAAGCCUCCAACAUUAGAGCUUUGAUUCCUCAAAACGAGCCCUAUAUGAUGGUAACAACAACAAGGCGAAACAGAAGUAAAAUCAAGCAAUCUUACCUACAAGGAGGAGGAGUUCCUCAGUGUGUGUUGAGUUCGAAGGUGCAUACGAAGAAGGAGCAAGAAAUCUCCAGGCUUGUAUGAGCUUGGCAAGAAGGUGAUGGAAUGAGGAGCACUUAAUCAUGAGCAACUUGACACUAGGCAUGGGGCACCCUAAUAAAGAUUAGUGGCUUGGAUAUCAAGGUGAGAUCCAUGGAGAUGAAGAAAGGAAUAGGUCUAGGGUUAACAUUUAGAGGUUGACUUUGGUCAACUGUUUGGCCAGAAAGUGAAUAAUUGACCAAAAGUCCAUUGUAGGACAAAAGAUGGAAUUUUGUGUAAUUUUCGUAAGGACUUGUAUGUAAUGAAAUAUUUGAAUGCUUUGUAAUUAAAAUUGGCUUUUGAAUGAA